UGUUUAUCAUCUCAGCUAAUCACUCUCAGAGUUGCUCCCUCAGUGUAACUUUUGAACAAACUGCUCCAGAAAAAAGGAGGAUUUUUCUAAAAUUGGGUCAAAUUAUAAAAGAAAAAGUAAAAUAAAUUGAGUUGUCUUACUUUUGUGCAAACCUCAUCAUGAAAGACUGGAGUAAAUCUCAAAUCUGUAACAGAGGAGACGCUAUGAAAAGAAGACGGAUGAGUUGAGCUACUUUUGGUUAAAAAGAACUGAAGAUGAGAAGAAAGAAGGCAAACAAAAGACCACAGAAGAAAGACGGGCCACCAAUGAACAGAGUGCUGCUUCAAAGCCACGAGACUUUGAUUGUCUACAAAGGCCUCAGCUCGAAUCUUCUGCACAGGAUCACCACCAGGCAUGUAAUAUUUCAGCUUGUUUGUCAUAAAGUGUUGUUUUAGUUGGUAAUUUGCAUGCAGUGAAUCCUGUAAUCACCCUACUUGUAUCCUCGCCAGCAUCAGUUAUGUGAAGAUUGUAUGAAUUUGAGCAAUGAGGAAAGUGAGGUCAAUUAUAUUGUUAUUCAGUGACCAAGCUUCUUCCUACCCUUUUAUCUUUCUGAGUCUCUUUUACUCUUCAUCCUUUUUUUCUCCCUUACUUUCCUUUCUACUUCCACCACCCCCUCCCUCCACCCCCUCCCUGUCUCACUGCACAGUGGGGGUAAGAUGUAUGCCGGUGCCCAGGUGGAUAGGGGGAGAAAUCAAUAGUGAGGCUGUUUGAAGUUUUCUGAAAGACUUCCUAGGGAAGACGCUCUUGUCAGGGUGAUAGAUAAAGCUCGCGCCUCAGUCAGCUUCGGCAAGAGGCGGCCAGAGGAGAAGAGAGCGCCUCACCUUUUUAAGUGGGGCCCUAAUAAUAAAACAGCAUGAAUAAAACAUCCUGGCUGAACCAUGCUCUGCAUUAGCGGUGCCGUGCCGUUAUAAAUGAUACUGGUGGCCCUGGCGCCAUUUGGGUAAAAGCCCACAGCACCGAUUUAAAAGAGGGCUGUGCAAAGGGAAAGGGAGAUGGAUUGAUAUGUGUGUUCCGCACUUAUUUAUUUAUAUGUUAUGGAGCUCAAGGAAGAAUGAGAGAGAAUUAGUAAGCUUUAGUGUUGCAAGGUGACUUAUUGUUACUUUGCUGCCAGUGAAGAAUUGGUGUGAUCAGCACUGUGAGCUCAUUACAGUAUCUCUGUUUGCUGUAGGUAAUAUAAAAACAGUCAUAGUUGAAGGCCUGCAUUUUUUUAGAAAAAUUGAUAAAAAAUUGUUUUUGAUUAUUUUAAAAUUUUAUCUCUAUAUGUUCAGUUAUGUCAUCUGUUUUCUAACUGUAACACUGUAAACUAACAAAUUUGCAUAAUUUUGUGACUUUCAACUUCUAUGAAAACAGUAAAUAAAAAAAACAUCGACUCUAUAUGAGAACUGGACUGAGCUCAUGUGACGUCACCAUAGAAAAUUAGUUACUUCUGGCUCCAACCAAAUUAAGUCAAUUCAAUCACCAUUUUUUGCAAUACAGACCCCGCCAUGUUGGGGCCAGAUGACCUCAGUAAGCAGUGAGUCAGUUUGAGUCAACAUUUCAACUCAUACAUUUGAAGUCCAGACCCCUCCCACUCUGGAGAAUCUGUCAAACGCUUUAAAAAAUCAAAGCAAGAACAAACCCUUUUCAUGUAGGCAUAUGACUGGCCAGUACAUAACUUGAAAAACUUUCACCACAGAAAAAAACAAAAUACAGCUGCAGGAGAAAACAUGUGAACCCUUUUGGAAUUACUUGGUUUAAUGCAUUAACUUUGCAUUUGUCCAGUUUUUCAUAUGAAAACAU